rnacentral:rRNA from 1 species
CAGUCGCCGCGGUAAAACGGAGGGGGCUAGCGUUGUUCGGAAUUACUGGGCGUAAAGCGCACGUAGGCGGCUUGGUAAGUUAGAGGUGAAAGCCUGGAGCUCAACUCCAGAAUUGCCUUUAAGACUGCCGAGCUAGCAGGUGAGAGAGGUAAGUGGAAUUCCGAGUGUAGAGGUGAAAUUCGUAGAUAUUCGGAAGAACACCAGUGGCGAAGGCGGCUUACUGGCCCAUACUGGACGCUGAGGUGCGAAAGCGUGGGGAGCAAACGGGAUUAGAUACCCGCGUAGUCCCUGUCUCUUAUAA